rnacentral:rRNA from 1 species
UGGGGAAUAUUGCACAAUGGGCGAAAGCCUGAUGCAGCGACGCCGCGUGAGGGAUGACGGCCUUCGGGUUGUAAAUCUCUUUCAGCAGGGACGAAGCGCAAGUGACGGUACCUGCAGAAGAAGCACCGGCUAACUACGUGCCAGCAGCCGCGGUAAUACGUAGGGUGCAAGCGUUGUCCGGAAUUACUGGGCGUUAAGAGUUCGUAGGCGGUUUGUCGCGUCGUUUGUGAAAACCAGCAGCUCAACUGCUGGCUUGCAGGCGAUACGGGCAGACUUGAGUACUGCAGGGGGGACUGGAAUUCCUGGUGUAGCGGUGAAAUGCGCAGAUAUCAGGAGGAACACCGGUGACGAAGGCGGGUCUCUGGGCAGUAACUGACGCUGAGGAACGAAAGCGUGGGUAGCGAACAGG